rnacentral:misc_RNA from 1 species
GUAUACAAUUUUGAUGGGCACCUUUAAGGACCCAGAUCAACAUUCUAUUACAUUCAUAGGAGUAUGUGAAUAACAUAGAAUCUAGAGAGAACAGGGCAAAGCUGGCAAAUACACAGCAGUCCCCAAUCUAUCCCGAUUGCUCAAAGACAAUUGCUUUCUCUAGAGUCUACAAGAAAGUGCACAGGUGAUUGUAAAGAUGACAAGCGUGCACAUUACCCUUCCCAGAAGAAAGAGCCAGCAACAGCCUAUCAAAUAUUUAUUCAAUAAUGAUCCUUCCGCAGGUUCACCUACGGAAA